UGGUGCACGAUGCCCCCGAAAAAGGGAGGAGAUGGAAUUAAACCGCCUCCAAUUAUUGGAAGAUUUGGAACCUCACUGGAAAUUGGAAUUGUUGGAUUGCCAAAUGUUGGGAAGUCUACCUUCUUCAAUGUAUUAACCAAUAGUCAUGCUUCAGCAGAAAACUUCCCAUUCUGCACUAUUGAUCCUAAUGAGAGCAGAGUGCCUGUGCCAGAUGAGAGGUUCGACUUUCUUUGCCAGUAUCACAAACCAGCAAGCAAGAUUCCUGCUUUCCUACAUGUAGUGGAUAUUGCUGGCCUUGUAAAAGGAGCUCACAAUGGGCAGGGCUUGGGGAAUGCCUUUUUAUCUCAUAUUAGUGCCCGUGAUGGGAUUUUUCAUCUAACACGUGCUUUUGAAGUUGAUGAUAUCACGCACGUUGAAGGAAGUGUAGAUCCCAUUGGAGAUAGAGAUAUAGAAAUAAUUCAUGAGGAGCGUCAGCUGAAAGAUGAGGAGAUGAUUGGGCCCAUUCUAGACGAACUAGAGAAAGUGGCUGUGAGAGGAGGUGACAAGAAACUAAAGCCUGAGUAUGUAAGUAAGGAUUUACAACUCUAA